rnacentral:rRNA from 1 species
CCUACGGGGGGCUGCAGUGGGGAAUAUUGGACAAUGGGGGGAACCCUGAUCCAGCCAUGCCGCGUGUGUGAAGAAGGCCCUCGGGUUGUAAAGCACUUUCAGUGAGGAAGAACGCCUGGUGGUUAAUACCCAUCAGGAAAGACAUCACUCACAGAAGAAGCACCGGCUAACUCCGUGCCAGCAGCCGCGGUAAUACGGAGGGUGCGAGCGUUAAUCGGAAUUACUGGGCGUAAAGCGCGCGUAGGUGGCUUGAUAAGCCGGUUGUGAAAGCCCCGGGCUCAACCUGGGAACGACAUCCGGAACUGUCAAGCUAGAGUGCAGGAGAGGAAGGUAGAAUUCCCGGUGUAGCGGUGAAAUGCGUAGAGAUCGGGAGGAAUACCAGUGGCGAAGGCGGCCUUCUGGACUGACACUGACACUGAGGUGCGAAAGCGUGGGUAGCAAACAGGAUUAGAUACCCUAGUAGUC